rnacentral:rRNA from 1 species
GAUGAACGCUAGCUACAGGCUUAACACAUGCAAGUCGAGGGGCAUCAUGGGAGUUGCUUGCAACUUCUGAUGGCGACCGGCGCACGGGUGAGUAAAGCGCAGGUAAUCUGCCGCAAAGUCGGGGACAACGUCCCGAAAGGGACGCUAAUACCGGAUGUUGUAAGAUUCUCGCAUGGGAGUUUUACUAAAGAUUUAUCGCUUUGCGAGGAGCCUGCGUCCGAUUAGGUAGUUGGUGUAGUAAAGGUGCACCAAGCCGACGAUCGGUAGCCGGUCUGAGAGGAUGAACGGCCACAAUGGAACUGAGACACGGUCCAUACUCC